rnacentral:rRNA from 1 species
CGGUUAUACCAAUAGAUCUAGUUAUAUUUAUAAGGUAAAAAUGUAGUUAAAUAUAAUAUAUUAGUUUUAUGAUUUUUUAUAAGAAAGUGAAAUUUUGAUAUAAAUAAAUAAACCAAAAAUAACUAAAUAAAUUGAAUCUACAAUAGCUUUGAGGGAAACUGGGAUUUGAUACCCCAUUAUUCUUAGCUGUAAAUAGAUAUAAAAUUUACCAGAGUACUACGAAUGAUUUAUAAAUUUAAAACUCAAAGGGCUUGGCGGUGUUUUAGACCUCUUAGGGGAACCUGUCUCGUAAUCGAUGAUCCGCGUUAGACCUAACCUUUUUUUGCUAUCAGUUUAUACACCGUUGUCAUCAGGUAACUUUUUAAAAAAAUUAAGUUAACAAUAAAAUAAUAAUAAAUUAAAAUGUCAAAUCAAGGUGCAGCUUAUAAAAAGGGGAAUAGAUGGGUUACAAUUAAGAUUUAUAAGAUGGAUUAAAUAAUGAAAUUUAUAUAUGAAAGAGGACUUAAAAGUAAAAUGAUGUAUAUAAAUAAUUUGAAUUAGGCUCUGAAAUGUGUACUAAUCGCCC